AUUGAACGCUGGCGGCAGGCCUAACACAUGCAAGUCGAGCGGAAGAAGGGGGCUUGCUCCUGGAUUCAGCGGCGGACGGGUGAGUGAUGCCUAGGAAUCUGCCUGGUAGUGGGGGGUAACGUCCGGAGACGGGCGCUAAUACCGCACACGUCCUGAGGGAGAAAGAGGGGGAUCUUCGGACCUCACGCUAUCAGAUGAGCCUAGGUCGGAUUAGCUAGUUGGUGGGGUAAAGGCCUACCAAGGCGACGAUCCGUAACUGGUCUGAGAGGAUGAGCAGUCACACUGGAACUGAGACACGGUCCAGACUCCUACGGGAGGCAGCAGUGGGGAAUAUUGGACAAUGGGCGAAAGCCUGAUCCAGCCAUGCCGCGUGUGUGAAGAAGGUCUUCGGAUUGUAAAGCACUUUAAGUUGGGAGGAAGGGCAGUAAGUUAAUACCUUGCUGUUUUGACGUUACCAACAGAAUAAGCACCGGCUAACUUCGUG
rnacentral:rRNA from 1 species